UUGCCCGUGAGGCGGAUAUUUUAACUGUUCCCGGCUCCGCAGCGCUGUGUCGCUCUCGACGUGACUGGAGGGAAAGUGUUGUCCCCACUGCACAGAGCCGGGUCUGAGGCUCGGUAGUGUCGCUGCCUGGUGUCACCCGCCGCGGGGCCUGGGCCGUUGGCCACGGAGUUCCGGUCCCCACCCGUGUGGGAGGCUCCCCAUCCGGGGGAGGCGGCUGCGCUGUGGGACCCCGCGCAGUGCCCAUCAUAGGCUGGACUCAGUCUGAGAUCCUUAUCCUGGAUUUCCACAAGAGGGAAGCUGGCUGGCCCAGGGGUAUGGGGUGCCCAGAGCCCCACAGCAGAGGCCCUUGGUGAGGAGCUAUUUUCCAAGAAGAAAGGGUAACCUGCUCAGAGAAGGUGCAGAGGUGAUGAUAGCAAACCCUCAGGCUCCAUAAGAAGUCAUUUGUAGGAGCAACAGAGGAGAAUGAUGCCCCUGCCCCGGCCAGGCUGAGUCUAAAGUACCUGGAGUACACCCCUGGCCUACUCCUGCUCCCUGAACAGCCUCAACUCUUCUACAGCCUGUGCUUUUAUGAUGAGCAAAUAAAAGCAAUGAUUUUUAAAAUAUUGCAUCUGCAUAUCCCAAGGUUUACUGUUCCUGAAAGGGUGACCAUGGAGGAUGAUUUGAGAGUGGAUGAAAGUUUAUUGAUGCAGUUCUGUUUUUUUUCUCCCUGCGUGGUAUAGAAAAGAGCAAAGAUACUGAAACUUGACAAAUUUCUUGGCAUCUGACAAUAAAAACUCUAUAUCACCAUAUCAUAUCAACAGACAGAAUAAACUUUUCCACCAUAUUAAACCCCUACCAUUAAGAGACUAGUUUGAUUCUGACAAUAUCAGAUAGUCCCUCUUGUUUGUAGAGAAAGUUCAUUUUACUAUUAACAAUGAUAUUCAGUGGGGUCAUUCUUUUAUGUUGCUAAUGCAUUUAUUUAUUUUAAAAAAUAUUUUAUUUAUUUGAGAGAGUACAGAGGGAGAGGGCGAGGGUGAAGCAGACUUCUCGCUGAGCAAA